UGUACUAUCUAUGCAACUCUCCUAUAAAUACAAAAGUAUUUCAAAAUAGAAAAGUCUAAGGAUUUUUCCUUCUGCAAAGGUUUUAUAGUAUGUAGCUCUUCAAGUGUCCCUAUAAUUGACAAUUGCCUGAAGAAAUCAAAGUCCAAACCAUGACAUGUGUGCUACUGUCUCAAUGCACCAUUAUUGACACCAUUUCCCAAUGCUAAGGAUGGCUUCUGGGGAAAACGACAUCUCGAGGUUCUUCAAACCUACUUCGGGUUAACCAUGAGGCCCAUCAGUGAUCCUUCUGCGACAAGAUCACCAAACAUUUUCCCUAUGUAUUUAACACAGGUCAAUGCUUAUUUUUCUGCAGGUACUAACCUCUGUUCUGUGGCUGCCAAACAGGCUUGUCUCCAGGAUUCAUCUCUCCUAAUUAAGAAGCAGAAUCAGAGGGAAGAAAAUGGGCCCGCCCCCCCCCCCCAGUUCCUCCUCCAGCCUUUUCACUCCUGAUGAUCCUCCAUCUGCAAAGGCUUCUGAGUUGCAAUCCAGGGAACCUUGUAAAAUAUCUUCUACUCAUUUACUUAAGCUGAAAGUAUGUUCAUGUGUCAAAUCCCUGGAGAAUGUCCUGUCUUUAUCUCUUGUGUUCAAACUAUAUUUUGUGAAUAAUGUACAGAGCUUAUUAAAUGGUGAUUAGGUCAUUCUCUAUUUGGACUUUAAAAGACAUUUUCUCUGAUAGAUGCACUAGCUCUUCCUCUGCCAUUUCCCUCAAAACUUUCUCUAACAUUAAGGAAGAUGCUAACGUUAAAGAAGAAUUGGGAUCUGUUAAGUCUACACCACUCGGACUAAAUUAUCACAUAUUUUUGCUCUGUUUUACAUAUGGUUGUACACAAGACUCCACCAGCACGAAAGUAGCCAGCAUUAUUAAGCAAGACGCGUGAAAUAAGAACAGGGCAAAGGCCAUCUGAUGACCCACCAAGAAUAAGGCCAUCUCUACACCAGAAAGAGAGCUUUCACUAGAAACGAGCCCUGGCACUUUGGUCUUGGACCCUGGCCUCCAUAACUGUGAGAAGAUAAACGUCUGUCAGUUAAGCCACCCAGCCUGUGACAUUUUGUUACGGCAACGCAAGUAGACUAAUAAACACUCGUGUAUAAAUA